rnacentral:rRNA from 1 species
AUGGCCGCCGCCGCCGGCGACGACGCGCCCGCGGGGCUCUUCUCCGGCGUCUGGUCCCGCCUCCACGCCGCGGCCUCCGUCUGGCGCCGCCGGGGCCAGGCCUCCCGCGACGGCGAGGGGGAGGAGGAGGAGGAGGAGGAGUCCACCGUGCGGUCGCGCCUGGCGAGGCGGGCCGCGGCGGCGCGGCGGGUCGGACGGAAGCUCGCCUUCGUCUCCUUCAACCUCGAGGUGCUGGUAUUCGUUUACGCGUUCUGGAGGGCGAGGAGGCGGAGUCUGACCUGGAGGCAGCCCAUCCAGGUGCUGCCCGUGCUCGCGGUCCCUGCUCUCGCCACGCUCAUCUACGCCGCCUUCGUCCGCUUCACCAGAAUGCUUGACCUCAAGGACAAUAGAACGCUUGAAAGACUUCAAGAGGACAAGCAUCAAGCUGAUGGUGAACCAAGGGAGUCAGUUGACCUCAAGGACAAGGAAACGCUUGAAAGACUUCAAGAGGACAAGCAGCGAACUGAGUGUGAACCAAGGGAGUUUGACCGGAACAACCAAAACAAUGUCCAGAGCUGUGAUGAUGUGGACGAUGCUAGUAAUUCUCUGGUUGGAACUGAUUCAGCGGCACAAACUGCUAAGCUUAUGAAACAUCGCCAGUCGAGCAUUAAGCAUAGAGAUGAUGGUGGAGCAGAUAUGGCUUGGGGUCAUAGCAAGGACUUCCAGCCAGCACCCUCGGGUGGACUAAGGAUGAGAAGACUGUCAAGUUCAAAAACAUACAUGACCAGCAGCAGUUUUGUAGAAAGAAGUGUGGAAAAGACUCAGGAAACGCCAUCUGUCUCUGCACAUUUAGAUCAGCAUGUCCAUGUCCCUAUUUCCACUGAAGAUACUAUUCCGUAUCCUUUCGAUGAUUGCCGCAGCAUGCAUGCUCAACCUGCAGAUACCCCUCAAGAAUUGUCUGAAGGAGAUGGUGACGAAGAAGGGUUUGAUGGAAUAUGGGACAUUGUGGAAACUCGUUCCAAUUCCAGCAAGGAGAAUCCCAUAUCUCCAGUUGGUUCUCAUAAUAAUUUUUAUGACGGAGACGAUUCACGCUCCCCUGCAUCUUCACCAGACGACUUUGUUGCUCAUAAUAGCUUAAAUGACUUCAGCCCUGACUUGUCUGGUCUGGUACUACCUGCAUCAGAAACCUUGAAAAUGUUGCCUCCAGAAAGUGUCAGGGAGGAAGCAUUGCUUGAUCCGCACAAGUCAGAAGUGUUGCAUAUGUAUUCUUUGAGUCCAAAGGAGAGCCCUAGUCCGUAUGCAGUCAAUGAUAAGAAGUUGCCAAUCAGUCCUGACAUGGGGACCUAUUCAGAGUUGCUUGGUGAGGGAGUCGAGGAGACAGAAUCGUCCAUGUUCCGUAUACCAGAGGAAAGUAUGCCGCCCUUCAUCUCAGAGGAGGUUUUACUGUGCCCACCUGCAGCCAGUAAUAUCGAACAUUGCUUGGGGACUCCAGAGUUCUCUUUGUGCGGUCAAGAGACUGAAAGAGUUGAAGUUGUUGGAAGUGCCAGCUUUACUAAUGACAGUCCUGAGUUAAUCUUCUUAUCCUCUCCAGAGUUAGUUGUGGAGAGUGCUGAGGAUGCCAUUGAGAAAGAAUUAUGUGAAUUAAACACAAAGGAGGAGAAUGCUAUUCUCAUCAGUAUGGAGGAGGAACCUUUGCAAGAUCCACUCAUAGUCAGUACUAAUACUAGUGAACAAUGCUUGGAAACUUCAGAUGCCUCUUUAUGCAUUCAAGAUGGCAAUGCGAGGGAAGUUACUGGAAUUAUAAACUUUGUUACAGCCAAUCCUGAAUUAAUGCACUCAGCAUCUCCAGAGUUACUUGCAGAAGGUGACGAUGACUUAAAGGAGGAUAAAGCAUCUGACUUGCACUUAUUGGAGCAGAACGGCCUACCUUUAAACAUCGAAAAGCAACCUAUUCUGGAUUCACUUGUAGCUGAUACGGCCGAGGACGUUGAGAUAACAGAAGUUCGUGAUGUUGUCAAGGAAGGUUUGUUUGAAUCAGAAGGCGAGGAAACAUUUAGUCAUCGGAUGCUUGUUGCAGCUUCUUCAAAUGGUGAUAGUAACACUGAAAUUUUGAUAACUGACUCAAUUGGUGUUCAAUUUAUUCCAAACGGCGACAUAAAUGAUGCCCUUGAAGGUGGCCAGGAAGCAUUUUCUGAGCCACUAUACCAUGGCACUCACCAUUCUGAAGGAAUGUUCUUAUCUUCAGGGGACAUCAAUAAUGACGAAGUCUAUUCUUUGACUCCAAUGGAGAGCCCUACUUCGUAUGCAGUCAAUGACAAGGAACUACCGAUCAUUCCUGAUGUGGAGAUCUAUCCAGAGUUCUCUGUAUGCGGUCAAGAGACUGAGAAAAUGGAAGUUGCUGGAAGUGUCAGCUUUAUGAAUGUCAGUCCUGAGUUGAGCUUCUCAUCUUCUCCGGAGUUAGUUGUGGAGGGUGCUGAGGAUACCAUCGAGAAAGAAUUAUGUGAAUCAAACAGAAGGGAGGACAGCGGUAUAUUCAUCAAUAUGGAGGAGGAAGCUUUGCAAGACCCACUUACAGUCAGUGCCAGUACUGUCGAACAAUGCUUGGAAACUUCAGAUGUCUCUUUAAGCAUUCAAGAUGCCAAUCCUAAAUUGAUGUACCCACCAUCUCCAGAGGUACUUGGAGAAUAUAAUGAAGAAUUCAAGGAGGAUCAAACGUCUGACUCGCACAUACUGGAGCAGAAUGGCCUACCUUUUAAUUUUGAAAAGGAACCUAUUCUGGAUUCACCUGUAGCUGAUACUGCCGAGGACGUCGAGAUAACAGGGGUUCAUUAUGUUGUCAAGGAAGGUUUUUCUGAGUCAGAAGGCGAGGAAGCAUUUAACUAUCAAAAGCUUGCUGUCACAGAUUCGGAGGAUGAUAGUGACACUCAAAAUUUGAUUAUUGAUUCAAUGCCAGUGAAAUUCAUUCCAAACAGCGACCUAAAUGAAGUUCUUGAAGGUGGCCAGGAAGCAUUUUCUCAGCCACUACGCCAAAGCACUCGCCAUUCUGAAGGAAUGUUCUUAUCUUCAGCGGAGAUCAAUAAUGAUGAAGUCUAUUCAAGCAACUCAAAUUCAUAUGCUAAUGUGGUGGAAGAUGCUGCACCCUCUGAAGGACUUUCUAAGUUUGAAGAUGAAAUGUCUAUUGCUUCUUUAGAUACUCCCAUCUGCCUGGAUGAGGUUAAAAGUGCAGCUAUUGUUGACAUUGAUAUAGUCAGUCCUAAACUGAGCCUUCAACCAGAGCUGCAUGAUGUGGGAGUUGAGGAGAAUGAAUUGUCCAAGUUCCAUGUACCAGAGGAAAUCAGAACACCCUUCAAUUUGGAGGAGCAAGUUUUGCUAUCCCCAGUUGCGGUCAAUAAUACUGAAUACUGCAGGGAGACUCAGGAGUUCUCUUUGUACAAUCAAGAGAGUGAGGAAAGGGAAGUUGUUCAAAGUGUCAGCUAUAUUAAGGUCAGUCCUGAGUCGAGCCUCUUAUCCUCUCCAGAGUUUGUUGGGGAGGGUGGUGAGGAUGCUAGGGAGAAAGAAACACGCGAAUUAAACACAAAUGAGGAGAAUGAGACACUCAUCAAUUUGGAGGAGGAACCUUUGCAAGCUGCGCCUGUGGUCAGUACUACUGAUCAGUGCUUGGAAACAUCAGAGUUUUCUUUAUCUAGUGAAGUUCCCAAGACAACGGAUGUUCCGGAUAUUGUUAGCUUUGUUACAACCAGUCCUGAAUUAAACUACUCUGCAUCUUCAGAGUUACUUUCAGAGGGGGACAGGGACUUACACGAGGAUGAAACGUCCGACUUGCACUUACAUGAGCAGAAGGCCCUAGCUUUUAAUUUGGAGGAGCCUUUUCUGGAUCCACUUGUAGUUGAUACUGCUGAAGAUGCGUUAGUUACAUCAGAACUUUUGAUACGUAGUGAAGAGGUUAAGAUGACAGAAGUUCAUGGAGUUGUCGAGGAAGUUUUCUCUGAAUCAGAAGACGAGGCAGCGUUUGAUCAUCGAAACCUUUUUCUUGCCUCUCCAGCUGAUGAUAGUUCCGCCCAAAAUUUGACAAGUAAUUCAACAUCUGCCCAGGUAAUUCCAGACACGAGUGUAAAGGAAGCUUCUCAAGCUGGUCAGCCAGCAUUGCUUGAGUCACCACACGAAAGCACUUGUCAUUCUGAAGGAGCAUUCUUAUCUUCAGGUGAGGUCAAUCAUGAUGAAGUGAAAGUCGAAGCACCAUUUGCUGGUCAGGAAGGACUUCCUAAGUCUGAAGAUGAAAUAGCUUUGACUUCUCUAGAGACUUCCAUCUUGCUCGAUGAGGUUACAACUGCAGAAAAUUUGACGGCCAACUCUGGACCUUCUCAGUCUAUCCCAGACAGCAACGGUUUUCAAUCUCUUCACAACCAGGAACAAGCUCCAUCUGAAACACUACAGGACGUUAAUUUUCUUAUCGAGGGAAGUCACACAUCCUCAGAUGAGGGCAUAAACUCUGAAAUAUUUUCGCUCUAUUCCAGGUCAUCUUCAUGUGUUUCAGAGAUCAACAUGCUGGAAUCUCUCAGAAGUGGAACAUCUUCUGAACCAGAAAAUGAUCGUGGUUUAAGCUUUGAUGAGAGGAACCGUGUGAUAUUUCACAACCUGCACAGUACAGAAAAUUACACAAACAAUCCAGCGACUGCUGAAUCUAUCCUGGAGACCAACAUGAUUGAAACUCUUAAUAUUGCUGAUGAAACAACUGCUGGUUCACCGCACGAAGUUUCUUCAAACUUUCUGGACUCUUUUGUAGCUCCAGAUGUAAUCAAUGGCAUGACACAAUCAGAUCAACACUUGGACUUAUCAUCCUCUUCAUUUGCUCCAGUGGUUGAUGCAUUUGAAACAUUGCAAAGUGGUCAGGUUUUUUCUGAGCCUCAACUUGAAAAUGAUGUUACGUUUGAGCAGACCCAAAUGUCCCCUAAGGAGGUUGACGAUGCUGAAAACUAUUUCACCAAUACAAUUGAUGAUCCUCAAGAUAGUGAGAGAACAUCAACUGUAGCUUUGGAAGAUGAAGAUGAUUUAACUCUUCAUAAGGCUUACAUGUCUCCUGAAGAUAUCAGCGAAGUCAAAAAUUCUUUGGCUGAUGAUUAUGCUUCAGAUCUUCCUCACAUGCCAGAGAACCACUGCUUCAGCGAAAAAGUAUCACCUGACUCUCAGGACCCCUUAAGUUCUGAGGAGAUUUUGGUUCAUCCAGAGGGUUUGAAAACUGAAAAUGAUUUAGACGGUGUAAAGUCAUCCUUGUAUUCUACAGAGGCCAACUUGGCUGAACCUUGUGGCAUUGCUCACGAAGGAACUCAGCAACAAGAUGAAACCAUGUUGGGUUUUGAGGAAGCCAAUUCUGAAGAUCACUGUGACAAUUCAGGGUCCCUAGAUAUUCCAGAUGUCACUGUGGCGGAGAGUCUUCAAGCCGCAGAGAGAUCGUCAUCUGAGAUACUUUACGAUGGCAUGUUCAGUUUCGAGGGGACGUUAAUAUCUCUAGAUGGUGAUGACAAUGCUGAGGAUUUUCCUAACAAUUCAGGUUCUGCUAUGCAUACUGCACAGACCGAUACAACAAGUCUCCCUGGUCUUCAAGAAGGGUCUUUCAAGCCAGAAGAUGAAAAUGCAGUUAAUUCUAUCUCCCCGUACGAGGUUGAUACUGAAGAAUCAAGUAGCUCAAAUCGUGGUAAUUCCAGCUCCGCUUCAUCUCGUAAUGGCAUCAGCUUCAUGGAGGCUCCCCAGCCCCAGGAACUGCCUAUAGACGCUGGAAGGAAAAAAGUUUUCCUCAAGGAUAAGGAACCAAAAGACGGUGAAUCUGAGGACAUGAAAGAGGCUGCCAAAGAUUUGGACGACGACCAUGAGAGGAAACCAGUAGUUACAAUCAGUCAUAGCACUGGGAGCAGUAAUGUAUCUGAGCUAGCUGAUUUGCAGUACACCGAGUCGGUUGAUGGUGAUACUGAAACUCUUAGUGCUCCUCUACCUUCAUCUGCUGCAACAGAUAUUUGA